UAGGGAAUAUUGGUCAAUGGAUGGAAGUCUGAACCAGCCAUGCCGCGUGCAGGAAGAAGGCCUUAUGGGUUGUAAACUGCUUUUGCCAGGGGAUAAAAUGAGCGUGCGCGCUUAAUUGCAGGUACCUGGUGAAUAAGCCACGGCUAACUACGUGCCAGCAGCCGCGGUAAUACGUAGGUGGCAAGCGUUGUCCGGAUUUAUUGGGUUUAAAGGGUGCGUAGGCGGCCUUGUAAGUCAGUGGUGAAAUAUCGCAGCUUAACUGUGAGGGUGCCAUUGAUACUGCAGGGCUCGAGUGAAGCCGAAGUAGGCGGAAUUGACGGUGUAGCGGUGAAAUGCUUAGAUAUCGUCAAGAACACCGAUAGUGAAGACAGCUUACUAGACUUCAACUGACGCUGAGGCA
rnacentral:rRNA from 1 species